CUCACCUAUUGCAGAAAACAUCUUGAGUAUGGAUGUCUUCUUAGGAUGCACUUUACAAACAUCUGUGGGGGAAUCUCACCUAUGACAAAGGCUAUAUUAAGAUGGGAGGCAAAAUGGGAAGGUGUACACCUCCCUCCCCCACAAUGUAUUGUUAAUGUGAGACAAUACCAUCUUCCUGGUAGAAUACAAGAAAUCACAGCCACCAUGGAGAAACUGGCCAAAGUUAAUAUUAUCUGGCCAGCCCAGAGUCCUUUCAGCCAUCCUGUGUGACCAAUAAGAAAAUCUGAUGGCACUUGGAUAUGACAGUAGAUGAGUGGACACUACUGAUCUUUCUAAGAUACAUGCUGCUCUAUGUAAUAUAACUCAAGUGAUUGAGUAAUUAAUACAAAACAUAGGCACUUAUCAUGCUGUGUUAGAUUUAGCUAAUGCCUUCCUUAGCAUCCUUUUUACCCUGACUUGCAGUCAUUAUAUUGAUGAUACUCUAACUUCUGAAGACUUGUCAUUGCUACAGCAAUAAGGAAACGCAUUGACAACCCUUCUUCAAUCCAGAGGAUGGGCCAUCAACUCACAAAAGUACAAGGCCUGGAACCAGCUGCAAAGUUCCUAUGGGUCACUUGGCCAGAUGAUGACUUAGAAAAACAAACAGUUGGCAAACUAGUGCAGCAGGUGAGUUCCGUGAAGCCAGAGGCACACCCUGGGAACUGGGCUGUUGCUGGAGCCGACACUGCUGUGCUGCACAUGUGGCUGCCACCAGUUUCCUCCUUCUCUGGGAAGUGGAAUUUGAAUUGCAGUAGAAACAGAUUCUAACCAUGUUGCCCAAGCUGGUCCUGAACCCCUAGCCUCAAGUAAUCCUCCUGCCUCAACCUACCAAAGCAUUGGGAUUACAAGUUUGACCCACCAUGAUCAGUCCAGGGUAGGAAAUGGAAUCUUAACAACUGUCACCUGGUCUUUGAGGGGAUCCUUCUCCAGAUGAGCCUUCAGUUGAGACCUCAGCCUUGGACGUCAUCUACAUCUGGAUUCCUGACCCAGAGCAACUGAAUUUUAUGGAAGCUUGUAUUCUGUUGAAUACCAGAAUUAUAUCAGCAAUCCCAAAAUCACCAAAUGGGCAUCAUCAUGACAGCAGAUGAGGUCUUGCUCUUUUGGCCAGGCUGGAGUGCAGUGGUACAGUCGUCACUCACUGCACCUUCAAACACCUGGGUUCCAGCAUUCAUCCCACCUCCGCCUCCCGUGUACCCCGGACUACAGAUGGAGUCUCACUCUGUUUCCCAGGCCGGAGUGCAGUGGUGGGAUCUCAGCUCACUGCAAUCUCCCCCUCCCAGGUUCAAGUAAUUGUUUUGCCUCAGCCUCCUGAGUAGCUGGGACUACAGGCAUGUGCCACCACGCCCAGCUAAUUUUUGUAUUUUUAGUAGAGAUGAGGUUUCACCAUAUUGGCCAGGCUGUUCUUGAACCCCUGACCUUGUGAUCUGCCUGCCUCAGCUUCCCAAAGUCCUGGGAUUACAGGUAUGAAAUAAUUUCCUAGUGAAGUCAUCUUAACAUGUAACCGGAAUUUAAAUCCUAACAACAGUCAUGUGAGCCUGGGGAGGAUCCUUCCCCAGCUGAACCUUCAGGGGAGACUUCAGCCUUGGCCAUCUUCUCCAUCUAGAUUCCUGACCAAGAGAAACUGUUUGGAAUAGUUCACCAGUGAAGUCAUCUCAACCAGCACAGGGCCUUGACUCCUAACAACAAUCACAUGAACUUGGAAGAGGAUCCUUCCCCAGCCGAACCUUCACUUGAGACCUCGUCCUUGGCCAUCAUCUACAUCUGGAUUCAUGACACAGAGAAACGGCUUUGAAUAACUCACCAGUGAAGUCAUCUUGAUCUGGACAGAAAUUGAAUCCUUCCAAGAAUCUCGGGAGCUUGGAAGGGGAUCCUUCCCCAGAUGAGCCUUCCCUUGAAAUGUCUGCCAGUUAUCUGACCCAGAGAAACUGUCAGAGAGGUUAAUCCUAAGAACAGUUACAUGAGCUUGGAAGGAGACCUUUCCCCAGCUGAGCCUUAGCCUGGGCCGUCACCUACAUCUGGACUGAAGAACCAGAGAAACUACUCCAUCAGGAAUCGUUUGGGACCGUGCAUUCUGUUGACACUCACAUUGUGGAAUUAUGUUGCCCACUGCCAACCCUAAAGCCACCAAGGUAGCAGGUUUGGAAUAGUUCACCAGUGAAGUCAUCUCAACCAGCACAGGGCCUUGACUCCUAACAACAAUCACAUGAACUUGGAAGAGGAUCCUUCCCCAGCUGAACCUUCACUUGAGACCUCGUCCUUGGCCAUCAUCUACAUCUGGAUUCAUGACACAGAGAAACUAUGUGAAGAAAUGCUAGAUGCAAUCCAGCCAAUCUGCACUCGACUCUCAGUUCCAUCUUCUCAACUUACAGUGUCUUCCAAAGUCCAUGCGACACCACAGCCUGGAACAUCUCCCAAGGCUUUGAAUAACUCACCAGUGAGGUCAUCUUGACCUGGAAAGAAAUCGAAUCCUCUUGAGAAUCCCAGGAGCUUGGAAGGGGAUCCUUCCCCAGAUGAGCCUUCCCUUGAAAUCUCUGCCAGGCGUCUGACCCAGAGAAACUACCGUGAUCAUGGGCUACAUUCUCCAUACCAUGUUCGUAGCUUCAGCGAGAAAACAAACUCCUGCGUCCUGGAGACCUAGAAUGAGAGACAGAGCUGACCUUGACCAUAUUUCUCACUUCUGAGAAGAUCGUAGCAGUAAUUCAGAGAGGUUAAUCCUAAGAACAGUUACAUGAGCUUGGAAGGAGACCCUUCCCCAGCUGAGCCUUAGCCUGGGCCAUCACCUACAUCUGGACUGAGGACCUAGAGAACCUACUCCAUCAGGAAUCGUUUGGGACCGUGCCUUCUGUUGACACUCACAUUGUGGAAUUAUUUUGCCCACUGCUAACCCUAAAGCCACCAAGGUAGCAGGGUCUCACUCUGUUGCUCAGGCCAGAGUGCAGUGGCAUGAACAAAGCUCGCUGCAGCCUCGAACUCUUGGGCUUGAAUGAUCCUCCACCCCAGCCUCUUGAGUAAAUGGGACUACAGGCAUGCGCCACCACAUCUGGGUUUGGAAUAAUUAAUCAGUGAAGUCUUCUCACCCUGGUCAAUCACGUGAACCUGGAAGAUGAUUCCUCCCCAGCUGAUCCUUCAGGUGAGACCUCACCCUUGGCCAUCAUCCACAUCUGGAUUCCUGACCCAGAGAAACUGAAUAUAGUUUACUCAAUCAUGAAAAGGUGUAAAUAGCUGAAAAGAAAAAUGUUGUCUUGACUCUGAAAAACAACAAAAAGGAUCAGCAACAUUUCAAGCAACAAGUCAUAAAAGGAUUAUUGUGGUCUUCUACUAGUUCAGUCCAUGCAGUUAACUUUGUCUGACAUUGGGCCUGCAGUCCUCAUAAACAUACCAGCUAUC